rnacentral:rRNA from 1 species
CCUACGGGAGGCAGCAGUGGGGAAUUUUCCGCAAUGGGCGAAAGCCUGACGGAGCAACGCCGCGUGAGGGAUGAAGACCUCUGGGCUGUAAACCUCUUUUAUCAAGGAAGAAGAUCUGACGGUACUUGAUGAAUAAGCCACGGCUAAUUCCGUGCCAGCAGCCGCGGUAAUAC